rnacentral:misc_RNA from 1 species
GCUUUUUCUGGUCGCAUUCUAUCAUGAUUUUCUCUUCCAUUAUCUCCAUAGAAACCACCAUCCUAGUGCUGAAGGAGGCUGACUACCACAGAAAAAGUGAAAUGAUUUUUGUGUUUCCAAUCUCCUUCACAUGUCUAAGUUGGAAACCCAACUUACCAAGUUGUUCCCUUUAUCUUCAAGUAUUCCUAUUCCUGUUACUUAUUAUAUUGUUGCAAAGUACCCACUUCUGAGCUAAUUGGUUUCUCUUUCUUUUCAGACCCAGAAAGCUUGUGACUGUUUCCUUCCUUGUUAUUUUAAUUUUUCUUAAUAUAUUUUUUGGGUUCUUUGUCUUUUCAAUUUUUUAGCAGUAUUUCUUGAUGAUUUACUAAUCAACUUUGUUCUUUUGCAGGAUGGGUGGCUUUGUGACUCAUUUUCUGACAUUAAAAUUCCUUUAUUAAUAUUCUUCCUUUGGGUUUGAGGUGCUAAAAAUAUUCAAUUAGAAACACCAUGAAUCUGGUUUGGCUUGUGUCCUCGUUCAUCGUAUGCAUUAGUCCAUUUUCACAAGGAGCUGUAAGCCCUGGUGCAGUGAAUGUUGGAGCUAUUUUCACUUUUAAGACUAUUAAUGGGAGAGUUGCAAGGAUUGCUAUGAAGGCUGCUGAGGAUGAUAUAAAUUCUGAUCCCAGCAUUCUUGGAGGAAGGAAGUUAUCUAUAACUAUGCAUGAUUCCAACUUCAGUGGAUUUCUGGGCAUUGUUGGUGGUAUGCUCUCUUUCUCUUGAGUGUUUCUUACCCAUUUUUUGUCCCUAUGUUUUAAUCUUUAAUGUAUAUUUACUUAGAUGUCUCAUUCCAUUUAUUAACUUGAGCAAGAAGGUGAUUUUGUUUGUGAAAAACUAAUACAUGGGAAUCAUAUUUAUUAAUUUAUCACAGCAUUACAGUUCAUGGAAACUGAUACUGUGGCUAUUAUUGGUCCACAAAACGCUGUAAUGGCCCAUGUACUUUCACAUCUUGCAAAUGAGCUCCAUGUUCCGAUGUUGUCAUUUACAGCUCUAGACCCCACUUUGUCACCUCUCCAAUAUCCCUACUUCAUUCAAACAGCUCCCAAUGAUCUUUUCCAGAUGACUGCCAUAGCAGAAAUGGUUAGUUACUAUGGUUGGGCUGAGGUUAUUGCAGUUUACAGUGAUGAUGAUCAGAGCAGAAAUGGCAUAACUACAUUAGGUGAUAAGCUUUCAGAGAGACGUUGCAAAAUUUCCUAUAAAGGUGCACUUCCACCAGACCCACUUGCAAACCGAACUAAUGUUCAAGAUGAAUUAGUUAAGAUUUUGAGGAUGGAACCUCGAGUAAUUGUUUUACACACUUUCUCCAGAACAGGCCUCUUGGUUUUUGAUGUGGCUCAGAGUCUUGGGAUGAUGGAGAAUGGGUUUGUUUGGAUAGCUACCACCUGGCUUUCCACUGUUCUAGAUUCAAAUUCACCCCUUCCUGUUGAGACUGCUAAUUCUAUUCAGGGAGCUCUCACACUUCGCCCACAUACACCAGAUUCAAAAAGAAAAAGGGAUUUUGUGUCUCGGUGGAACAAGUUGAGCAAUGGCUCCAUUGGGUUGAACCCUUACGGCUUAUAUGCCUAUGAUACUGUUUGGAUGAUUGCUAAUGCCAUGAAAGUGUUUUUAGACUAUGGCAACACCAUUUCAUUUUCCAACGACUCAAAGUUAAGUGGUCUAGGUGGUGGGACUCUAAAUCUUGGUGCAUUAAGCGUUUUUGAUGGAGGAAAGCAGUUUCUUAAAAUCUUAUUGCAGACAAAUAUGACAGGUCUGACAGGACCUAUUCAAUUUAGUCAUGACAGAUCUCCUUUGUAUCCUUCAUAUGAUAUCAUUAAUGUGAUUGAAACUGGGUAUCAGCAGAUUGGAUACUGGUCUAACUAUUCUGGGCUAUCUGUUGUGCCCCCAGAGACACUUUAUGGACAACCGGCUAACCAUUCAAGUUCGAGCCAACAUUUAUUCAGUGUCGUAUGGCCUGGAGGAGUAACAGCUAAGCCCCGUGGCUGGGUAUUUCCAGACAAUGGAAGGCAAUUAAAAGUUGGAAUUCCAAACCGGGUUAGUUAUCGGGAUUUUGUCUCUACAGUCAAUGGAACCGACUUAGUCCAAGGAUAUUGCAUAGAUGUAUUCCUUGCUGCCAUAAAAUUGCUUCCAUAUGCAGUGCCAUACAAGUUUAUUCCUUUUGGAGAUGGUCAUAAGAAUCCAAGCUACUCUGACCUAGCAAAUCAGAUUACACAAGGUGUCUUUGAUGCUGUCAUUGGGGACAUUGCAAUUGUCACAAACCGAACAAGGGUUGUGGAUUUCACCCAGCCAUACAUAGAGUCGGGGCUUGUUGUAGUGGCUCCUGUCAAGAAAUCGAAUUCGAAUGCUUGGGCAUUCUUGCGACCAUUUACUCCAUUGAUGUGGGGUGUCACAGCAGUUUUUUUCCUUGUUGUGGGAGCUGUUGUAUGGAUCCUUGAACAUAGAAUCAAUGAUGAUUUCCGGGGGCCACCUAAGAAGCAAGUUGUCACAAUUCUCUGGUUUAGCUUCUCAACUAUGUUUUUUGCACAUAGAGAAAAUACAGUUAGCACUCUCGGUCGUCUGGUGUUGAUCAUCUGGCUUUUUGUUGUUAUGAUAGUCAACUCUAGCUAUACAGCUAGCCUGACAUCAAUCCUGACUGUCCAACAGUUAUCCUCACCCAUUAGAGGAAUCGAUACUUUGAUAACCAGCAAUGAUCAUAUCGGAUUCCAAGUAGGAUCCUUUGCUCAAAAUUAUCUGAAUGAGGAACUCAGCAUAGCAAAAACUAGACUUGUUGCUCUUGGCUCACCUGAAGAAUAUGCUAAAGCCCUUGCAAAUGGAACUGUUGCUGCCAUAGUUGAUGAAAGACCAUAUGUUGAUCUCUUCCUGUCAGAGCAUUGUGAGUUCUCAAUCAGAGGCCAAGAGUUCACCAAAAGUGGAUGGGGAUUUGCAUUUCCAAGAGAUUCUCCUUUAGCCAUUGAUAUGUCAACUGCCAUUCUCUCUUUAUCUGAAAAUGGUGAUCUUCAAAAGAUUAAUGACAAGUGGCUGACAAGAAAAGUCUGCAAUUCCCAGAGCUCUGAGUCUGGCUCAGAACAGCUGCAGUUACAAAGCUUUCAGGGGCUUUUCCUCAUAUGUGGGAUUGCAUGUUUUCUUGCUCUCCUCAUCUACUUCUGCAAUAUUUUACGCCAGUUCAUCCGGUACUUACCUGAAGAUUCAGAUCCUUCUAUCCGGGGCAGCUCUCAUUCUAGACGUCUUCAAACAUUCUUAUCAUUUGCUGAUGAUAAGGUAGAUGAAUGGAAGAGCAAGUCAAAGAGAAAACGCGGGAAUGAGUUACCAAAUGGUCAUGCAAGGGAAGAUGAAUCAGUUGAUGGAUCGGAGAGAAUUCAAAGAGACAUUUCUCAAGAGAGACAUAAAAGUGAUGGUUGGCUUCGUUAAUCCGUAUGGUCAGUUCUGAUCAUCAGAAGAGUUCUGUAGGUAAACCACUUAAGUACCUUUACAGAGAUGUGAUUUACAGCAUAAUGUAUAAAAUGUUCUCUUUCUUAGCUUAUGUAGCUGCAGCUUGCGGGUGCUUCAACUUGCUUGAUUGUCUUUAAUGUAUAAGAAGGCAGUGAAAAAUAAUACAUUCACCUGUGUUAUAUAACUCAUAAUGCAUCUCUAAUUUUCUCAAGAUUUUAUUUAACAGAAUCAUAACUAUUAAUGGUAGCAGCUUGUAUUGAUCUUAUUGAUCUUCAAAGGUUUUUCCAGAUAUUGUUGAAA